CGUCCUCCACUUGCAAAAAUAAAGUAGACAAUCCAUUGGCUUUAUUGUAAAAGGAAAACAUAUGGUUGGUCAAUAAUGAAUAAUUUAUCUCUCAGUCUUCUAAACUAGCCCUGCUCUGUUUCAGCCAUUCUUCCAGCUUAGUUUAUCUUUAUCUGCAAAAAUCUAGUAGCAAAAACUUAACUGUGAUCACCAAAGAUGGCUUAUGCUGCUCUUCUUUCCCUCGCCCGAACCACUGCAGAAAUAAUCUUGGAUCAAGAUAGAUAUUCCAUUUCUUGUAAUAAAAAACAACAAAUUCGAUCUAUCUAUGAACCAUUUAUUUUCUUGCAGGAGUUUCUUGAAGAUUUUCCCGAAAAAGCCAACAUCUUGGAUGGGCGAAUUAGAGAUUUAGCAUAUGAAGCAGAACAUAUUAUUGAGUCUUUCAUAUUGGUGGAAGCUGCAUCACAUUGGUGGAAUGUUUUAGCUGCUAAAUCAAAGCUAAAAAGGCAAAUAAGAAAGAUAAGAAACGAAACAGAUUCAAUCACAAGGGAGGUGAUGAUCAUCAAGAAUAACAGUGCAGAUACAGUACAACUUGGUGCUUCUUCUUCCGCAGCAGCAGGUUCACCAUCCAGAUCUGCACCGAUCAUCAAGAUUGGCUAUAUGGUUGGUUUACAUGAAGAUUUGCUAACAAUAAAAUCUCGACUCUGUGGAGAAUCGCCAAAUUUAGAAGUUAUCCCAAUCGUUGGGAUGGGAGGUAUAGGAAAAACUACUCUUGCAAAGUGUGUUUACGACGACCCACUAACAGUGCAGCGGUUCGAUAUUCGUGCUUGGGUCACAGUAUCACAGGACUACAAUGCAGAUGUAGUUUUAUCAGCCCUCCUAGCUUCCAUGGAAGAGUUUGAUAAAGAUAGAUCCGAGGAGAGCAAAGAUAGAUCCAAGGAGGAAGAAGAAUUGCCUGGGGCGAAAGUGCACAAGAUCUUGAAAGGCAGGAGGUAUCUCCUAGUAAUGGAUGAUAUUUGGAGCACAGAUGCUUGGGAUGAUGUAAGACUUAUACUUCCCGAAGAUGGGAAUGGAAGCCGAAUCAUAUUAACGACAAGAGAAACUGAUAUGGCUGCUUAUGCCUGUCGUUUGAGCGGUCCCCACAAGAUGCGUUUCAUGGAUGAGGCUCAGAGUUGGAAUCUACUUCAGCAGAAGGUGUUUGCACAUCAAGAUUGCCCUCCGGAGUUGGAGAACAUUGGAAAGGAGAUCGCGAGAAGCUGCAAAGGGCUGCCACUCGCAAUCGUGGUGGUUGCAGGGCUCCUAUCAGCAGUUAGCACCAAUGUAGCUUCAUGGAGCGAAAUUGCACGAAAUGUAAAUUCAGUUACUAUAGGAGGACAAUUUGAAAAUAUAUUGUCUUUGAGUUACACUCACUUGCCUCAUUAUCUGAGGCCGUGUUUCUUGUACAUGGGAAUGUUUCCUGAGGAUUGUGAGGUCCGUGUCUCAAAACUCAUCAAAUUAUGGGUAGCUGAGGGAUUCUUGAGACGUCUGAACAGAUCUAAAACCUUAGAAGAAGAGGCGGAAGUGUUUUUGGUGGAUCUUGUCAAGAGAAACCUUGUUUUGGUUACCAAGAGAAAGUGCGAUGGCAGGAUCAAAAGUUGCAGCCUCCAUGAUCUUAUGCGAGAUUUGUGCAUAAGAAAAGCGCAUGAAGAGAAGUUUCUUGUGAACUUCAGCAAAGGGCUUUCAGUAAAGGGCAGAAAAAAUCAGCGUCGUGUAAGUUUUACUCCUUCGGGUUUAUCAUACCUCUCAGAACUUUAUGGCUUAACCAUCCAUACGAUUUUCGAAGGUUUUAGAUUGCUAAGGGUAUUGGAUGCAGGAGAUGUUUAUGUGCAAUCACUACCAGAUCAACUAUUUGACCUAUUUUAUCUAGCAUACCUUGCUGUCUACUAUCUUGGAAGGAUACCUACAGCCAUUUCAAAGCUUCAUAAUCUUGAAACUUUAAGCCUUCACGCAAAGAAUAAUUGGAUGAACUUUAGAUCAUAUUUAAUCCGUUUGCCACAGGAGAUUUGGAGGAUGCCAAGAUUGAGACAUCUUGUCGUCUAUGGCAGGUUACCAAAUCCAGAAGGAAUAACAGCUUCUAGUCUAGAAAACCUCCAAACACUCUCUAUAGUGUCACAUACCAUGUGUAGGAAAAGGAUCUUGAGAAUGAUCCCAAACCUAAAGAAAUUGGAAAUUGAUUGCUCUGAUGGCGAAAUUUUCCUCAACAAUUUGGUGCAUCUGCGUCAACUUGAAGAUUUGAAGUUACGUUCUACUAGAAUUGUGUUUCACCAGAAGGAUGACUUCACUUUUCCUAAGUCUCUGAGAAAGUUGACAUUAAGCCAUGUGCUUCUUCCUUGGAAGGAGAUGACUGUUGUAGGCUCGUUGCCAAAUCUUCGAGUGCUUAAACUGACUCAUUGGGCUUGCAAAGGCAGUACAUGGGAAACAAGCGAUGGAGAGUUUCCUAAACUAGAAAUUUUGGUUAUAGAAAGGUCGUAUCUCAAGGAUUGGAUAGCUGAAAGUAGCCACUUUCCAAUGCUCAAAAGCCUCGUGCUAGACGAGUGUUGGAAGCUCGCUGAAAUACCAGAAGAUAUCGGGGAAAUUCCAACACUCGAGCUGAUUGAGGUGAAGGGGAAAGUGCGAACGUCACUUGUGGAGUCGGCCCAGAGGAUUCUGGAGAAACAACAAGAGUGGGGAAAUGAUGCCCUUCAAGUUCGUUGCAUGGCUCAUCGAUGAUGUGCUCUUUCCAUCCUUCUGUCGACACAAACGAUUAAUUUUGUUGCAGAUCAGGAAAUAUGCAAUCAAAUGUCAUCAACUAGGCCUCAGAUUCUCACAAUGGCAGUUUUGGCUUCAAGUUCGUUUUAUGACUCGUUAAUCAUGAUACUCUUCUAAUGAGCCAAUGGAAUAUGGAAAGAAGUGUCUUCGACCAGAGCUAUUUUUCUGUAUGCUUUGAUUAGUGAAAAUUAUAUUUUUGCUGUUUUUAUGUCGUGGAUAGAGCCACUUUUAUGUUAUUCUCUAGUUUCAUUGCUUCCAUGGUGUAAGAAGCUCAAGAAAAUAAUUUAUAGCCCAAAUCAAAGUAACAAUUUUUUUUAGGAGAAUGACAGUAAAGUACAACUCAAUUGGUAAAACACUUCAUUAGGAAUUCAUAUCAUCACAUGAGGAAAUAGAGAAUCAUAAUUAAUCAUCUUUUCUGUUCAUUGUUCUUCAUUUAUCUCAAACCCUUCACUCUGAUCACCAUUCAAUCAACUAGGUCACUCAUACUAUAAGGCUGCGUUAUUUUUGGUUGUAAAUUUAUCAUGGAAAAAUGAAGGAUAAACAAAAUUUCACCCUUUAAAUCCUUCCUUUCUUUUCCCACAUUUCCUACUUGACCAUUACUCAUUCCUCAUUUACACUACAAAGGAGGGAUAAUAUUAUUCAUCCUUUGUAGUGUAAAUGAGGAAUGGGUAAGGGUCAAGUAGGAAAUGUGGGAAAAGAAAUAAAGAAUUUAAAUGGUAAAAUUUUGUUUAUCCUUCAUUUUCCCAUGAUAAAUUCACAACAAAAGAGAACGCAGAGUAAAAAGUUAUUCAUGCAAAUCCCAAAAUAAUGAUAUCCUAACUAUCACGCACAGCCAAAUCUAUCUUUUAAACUAUUUUUUGUUCCAACUUUUGAAGAUUGAGACAGGCAAACCAAAUUAAGAUAACUAAACAAGCAUAAGAUGAUAAAUCUCAAUACUCGUUAUUUAUUCUGCCAACAUAUGAAGCCCAAACACUAACUUGAAUCAAACCUAGCAAAUAGGUGGUGACAACUGUUUUAAGUAAUAAAGUCAGUAAAUAUGAAGCAGAAAUCUUUCAGGCUUUAGGUUCAUAGGAUAUACGAAGCUCUAACAUGCGUAGGAAGUACUGGCGUGCAUUCGGUUAUAUGGUUUGGUUUUUGGUUUUACCAAAAACCAAACCAAAUCAUAUUUUGUUCGGUUUAAAAAAAAAAUCGAAUCGAACCGAAUUAACCGGAAUUUUUGUACUUAAAACCGAACCCAACCGAAAAAACUGAAUUAAAAAAAAAACAGAAAAUUCCGAAAAAAUCCGAAAAAGCUAUAAAAUUAAAAAAAUAUUAGAAG